rnacentral:tRNA from 1 species
GGGCCGGUAGCUCAGCCUGGAGAAAUGCGGGCAAUAGAGCACACCACUUUUAAUGGUGUGGUCGCGGGUUCAAAAAACUUUGAAAAUCCCGUCCGGCCCA